UACGAAGGGGGCUAGCGUUGCUCGGAAUCACUGGGCGUAAAGGGUGCGUAGGCGGGUCUUUUAAGUCAGGGGUGAAAUCCUGGAGCUCAACUCCAGAACUGCCUUUGAUACUGAGGAUCUUGAGUUCGGGAGAGGUGAGUGGAACUGCGAGUGUAGAGGUGAAAUUCGUAGAUAUUCGCAAGAACACCAGUGGCGAAGGCGGCUCACUGGCCCGAUACUGACGCUGAGGCACGACAGCGUGGGGAUCAAACAGG
rnacentral:rRNA from 1 species